rnacentral:rRNA from 1 species
AGAUACCCUUGUAUGCAAUGAUGAAUUGAAAUUAGUAAGUAUGAAAUUUAAUAAUUUUGGCGGUUAAUUUUUAAUUAGAGGAGCUUGUUGUGUUAGUAUUUACUCUUUAAAUUUAAAAUUAGUUUGUUUAUUCAUCUCCGUUAUAAGAUUAAAUUUUGAAAAGUUAUUGCUACUAUUUCAGGUCAAGAUGUAGCAUCUAUAAGUGAAAAUUAGCUACAAUAAUGGAAUUUUGGAUUUUGGUUGGAGGGAAUGAAAGGAAACUGAAUUUAAUUGUAGUGUUAUUUAGAAUAUUAAUAUGAAUUGAUAAGAUUAAUGUACAUAUUGCCCGUCACUUCUAAGUAUAAAUAGAAUAAGUCGUAACA